CCAUCGCCUUAAUGGGCUGGUAUUCACAGGACAACCCUUAACAGACCCAAAUAUUAUUUGAUAAAAUAUUAAAAUAUUAAUAUUAAAUAAUAUUCUCAGAUUCAUAUUUACAACAUGACCAAGCACAUGGUGAAUGUAACGCAGAAUUAAUGUUGCCACAUGAAUGUCUUUGCACAGAAUAACAGGAUGUUUAGUUUCAGAUGGCAAUGCAGCUCUUUUGAGACAUCCACCCAACCUGAGGACUCCAUUGUCAACCACUGGAUCAAGUCUGUACCGCUGGCUGUCUUUAGAGAUGGUCUUGUUGGCUCUGAGGGAAUCUCAGGACCAAACCUAUGAUGUUGUUCAAACUGAAUACUUGAAUGCUCUGCUUUAGCUAGAUCAUCAGAUGUCAAACAUUGUUUUUUCAGCAUAGUCUUAAAUUGCUGCAUCUUUUGUUCCACCUUUUUGCUCUUUGGCUUUUGUAUCUUCUCCAGAUCGAUGUAUCAUGGCAGCAAACUCUUUUCUUUUCUGAGACAGCAGAAUGACAAGUUCUUUUAGCUUUAGAAACCAAGCUACAGAUGUUUUCAGCUUCACCCAGGAUGAGAAGUUGGAGAUAAAAAAAAAACUUUUAGGGCCUUUAACCUCCUCAACAACAGCAUUGACAGUCACUCACAUCCCUUUUUAUUUCAGAGUCAUCAACAGGAAGUGAGUCAUACUUUACCUCCAGCUUAGACCAUUUAUCUUCAGUCUCAAAAAGGAGGUCAGGGCCAUUAAUCCUUCUACUAUGAUACAAGAAGUCCUCUGCUUUCAUCCUUCUUGAGCUUCAUCUGCUGGAUUAUCUUUAGAACUCACAUUUUUCCAAAUGGUUUUCUUGUGUAGCUUCUCUGAUAAUAGACACUCUGUUUGCAACAAAGCUAUGAAACCUCUUUGCUUCACUGCAGAUGUAUUUUAGGACAUUGGUGCUGUCAGUCCAAAUAACAGAUGUCUUAAGUUCAAGAUGCAACUCUGUGAAGCAGUUGGUCCAUGCGAACAGCGAGGACAGCUGCAGUGAGCUACAGACGAGGGAUGGUUGUCUGCUUGAGAGGAGCAACUCUGGCCUUUCCCAGGAGGAAUGCUGGGUGCACAUGAUGCUCAUUUUGUAAUCUUAAAUAUGACACUGUACCAUAUCCCACUUGGCUGGCAUCAGAGAAGUGAUGGAGCUGCACUGUGACAGGACAAAAAUCUUUAGGUUUAAUGCAGCGAUCCCCUUCAAAUUCUGAUAUCCUCUUCAGAUCAUCCAGCCAAUCGGUCCAAUGUUUGGAGAAAUGAUGGUGAACAGCAUCACUCCAGCCCAGGUUUCUCCUGCAGAGCUCUUGUAGAAGCAGUUUGGUAGCGAUGAUGAAGGAGCCAGAAAUCCUAAGGGAUCAUAUAAUGAGCUCACUACUGACAGUAUUCCCCUUCUUGUGCCGGACCGCUCUUGAAAUGAAGUUUUGAAUUUAAAGACAUCACUUUAAAUGCACCAGUGUAAUCCAAGUUCUCGCUCCACUGGAAGCUCCAAAUCCAUUUCCAAUAUUUCCUUUUUUUGAUGUCUGAAAGUGCUUGCAGCACUGCAGGACUAUUACUGAGCCAUUUGGAGAACUUAAAUCCUCCUAUAUGGCAAAUAGCUGUCGAAUCUUGAGCAAAGCUUCUUCUUCUGUUGGCAAUGAUUUUAAGAAAUUAUUCACGUAGACGUUGUGCUUGAUUGUACUGACCACUUGAGCUGGGAACUGCUGAGCAUUUUCUUCUGCUGUUCUUCUUAAUGCAUGAUUUGCACAGCUCAGAGAGGACACUGCUCCAGACAGAUGUACUGUCAUCUCUAUGUCAUCUCUGAAGUCUCUAUGUUUCUCAGGAACAUGGACCUGGUGAAACGUGGCUUGAAUAUCUGCCAUAACUGAACUGGCUCUUGUCUGAAGCGUAGAAGAAUUCCCACAACUGAGUUGGUCAGAUCAGGUCCUUGUAACAGCUGGCAGUUAAGUGAGGUCCCCUUGAAUGUUGCAGCACAGUGAAAAACAACUCUCAGUUGACCUUUUCUGGGACGAUACAUACCAUAAACCACACCUUUCCUUCACUGCCCAUUAAGUGAUCAUCAGGUACAAGUUCAGCAUAUCCAUUACAUAUCAUGUCAUCCAUAGAUGUAAUAUAGUCUGUCUUGAAGUUUAUUGUUCUUCUCAAACUUUCUUUUCAAGCUGUGAAGACGUUGCUCUUCAAUGCAGCAGUUUACUGGCAAGAUGGAGUUUUCAGCUUUAAAGGGCAGUUCAAUACAAUAAUGUCCAUUGAUUAAUUGUGCUGUAUUGUUCAUAAUAUUCAUAAACUUGACAUCUUUAGACAUUUCAAUCUACUCUUGAGAGGUUUUUUCAUUGAAAUCAUGAUUGUAUUGUUCAAUCAAGAUCUUUUGCAGAUGUUCAACAGAAAUCCUGUUUGCAGUGAAAGCAUGACUGCCUGUCUUGUUCCUUUUCCUCCGAAGUGGACCAUUGAUGACCCAUCCAACUUGGGCCCAAACUGCAUAUGGGCCUUCAUCCUGACUGUUUAUCAGCUCCCAUGGCUCCAUUACUUUGGGUGCAUCUGUGCCAAUGAGCAAAUCUACCUCGGCUUCUAUGUGGUGGAGCUUGAUGCUUUGCAGUUGAGCUUUCUGGCCAAACUUUCAGAACAAAAGGUGCCUGUGCUGCCCGGGUCCAAAAAGGCUUACGUCUGUACAGUUGUGUUGGUUUUUGGACUCCUGACUUGGACUGCAAUGAUAGAAAGGUUAAAGUUAUUUUCAUCACAGACACUGAUAUGACUACAGGGUUGAGUCAUUGUGGAGGUAGUUCUCAGAGGAUUCUGUGGACGUCUGGAGAAAGCUCCUGUACUUUCCUUGUCAAUGUUCAGGACACUGGGAUGUUUUUGGUAACAUACAGAGCAGUCCAAGUGACCUCUGCUUUCUCUGCUUAUGUGUCCCAUCUUUAAACAACCAAAACACAUGCCCUCUUCCCUAAUAAAGUUGACUUUAUCUCUAUGUGGCUUCUCCUUGAAAUUAAAACAUUUGUCAACUCUAUGAUUACUUAAGAGACAAUGAAAACGUUUGGAGGACUUGCUCUUAUUUUCAGAUGUACGUUCAUUAUUUCAAUGACAUUUGUGGCAAACUGCUCCCCUUUUUCUUCUGUUUUUGUAAAACUCCUGUUUGGGUUUUUAGAGUUGAGCUGUUGAAGGUCCAUGAUAUUGUCAAACAAUGGAUCAGAUGCAACUUUAACUUGUUUUUCAAUGAAAGCAACAAGAUCAAUAAAUAAUGCUCUCUGACUGCUA